rnacentral:sRNA from 1 species
CCUCCUUGAUGUCCACGACAACCGUGAC